GGAGAGAUGGGUGAGUGGCUGAAACCACCAGUUUGCUAAACUGACGAACGGGUAACUGUUCCGCGAGUUCGAAUCUCGCUCUCUCCG
rnacentral:tRNA from 2 species